rnacentral:rRNA from 1 species
UACGUAGGUGGCAAGCGUUGUCCGGAUUUACUGGGCGUAAAGAGCGCGCAGGCGGUCGUACAAGUCGCGUGUGAAAGCCCCCGGCUCAACUGGGAGGGUCACGCGAUACUGUUCGACUCGAAGGCAGGAGAGGGAAGCAGAAUUCCCGGUGUAGUGGUGAAAUGCGUAGAUAUCGGGAGGAAUACCAGUGGCGAAGGCGGCUUCCUGGCCUGUUCUUGACGCUGAGGCGCGAAAGCUAGGGUAGCAAACGGG